GAUGAACGCUGGCGGCGUGCCUAAUACAUGCAAGUCGAGCGAACAGACGAGGAGCUUGCUCCUCUGACGUUAGCGGCGGACGGGUGAGUAACACGUGGAUAACCUACCUAUAAGACUGGGAUAACUUCGGGAAACCGGAGCUAAUACCGGAUAAUAUAUUGAACCGCAUGGUUCAAUAGUGAAAGACGGUUUUGCUGUCACUUAUAGAUGGAUCCGCGCCGCAUUAGCUAGUUGGUAAGGUAACGGCUUACCAAGGCAACGAUGCGUAGCCGACCUGAGAGGGUGAUCGGCCACACUGGAACUGAGACACGGUCCAGACUCCUACGGGAGGCAGCAGUAGGGAAUCUUCCGCAAUGGGCGAAAGCCUGACGGAGCAACCCCGCGUGAGUGAUGAAGGUCUUCGGAUCGUAAAACUCUGUUAUUAGGGAAGAACAAAUGUGUAAGCAACUAUGCACGUCUUGACGGUACCUAAUCAGAAAGCCACGGCUAACUACGUG
rnacentral:rRNA from 1 species